GAUGAACGCUGGCGGCGUGCUUAACACAUGCAAGUCGAACGAAGUGGCGAACGGGUGAGUAACGUGUAAUCAACCUGCCCUUCAGAGGGGGAUACCAGUUGGAAACGACUGCUAAUCCCGCAUACUGAAGGAGGGGAUUGCGUCUGAUUAGCUAGUUGGAGGGGUAACGGCCCACCAAGGCGAUGAUCAGUAGCCGGUCUGAGGGGAUGAACGGCCAAAUUGGGACUGAGACACGGCCCAGACUCCUACGGGAGGCAGCAGUGGGGAAUCUUGCGCAAUGGACGGAAGUCUGACGGAGCAACGGCGGGUGAGUGAUGACGGCCUUCGGGUUGUAAAGCUCUGUUAAUCGGGACGCGGUACCGGAAUAGAAAGCCACGUCUAACUACGUGCCAGCAGCCGCGGUAAUAC
rnacentral:rRNA from 1 species